rnacentral:lncRNA from 1 species
UGCAACAACAACUACCGCGGAUGUCAACAAAAAAAUGUUACUAGCAAAAAUAGAUCAACUUAAGCAACUCCGUACCAGUAGGAUGUGCAACUUUGACAAGUACCCCGACAAACUGCCUGGCAGUCGUUGUGCAACUCCGAAAGCAUGGUUGUGCAACUUUACGUGUCUUUUCGACGAUGAUAUCGCUCCAACUCCAACACCGAGAAAAAAAGAGACAUUCGGUUGCACUACUGCUCCGGCUCCACGAGUAGGGGUCUUCCACAUGACCUGUUAACCCAUCCAUAAUGGAUUUGCGAGUCACACCUCGAGCACCACUGCGUCACCUCCACUCCAACUACCCCUUGCAGUACGAAUGCAACUUCUACGGCUACUCCGACCAACUAUCUGGCAGUCGAUGUGCAACUCUGAAAGUAUGGUUGUGCAACUCUUCUUAUGGUCUAGAGAAAAUCCGAGAUUGAUAAAUUACAAAACAUACAAGCGUUGUAGUAUUAGUUGACUAAAGAAAACAUCUAUUUCAGCAUCCAAUCAUCCACUGAAUGAUAGGUUUCUGCAAGGAAGAUGAAAAAUACAUAGAACUGGACCUUUGCUUCGGCGGAUAUGUCCAGAUUGCAUUGUAUACUACUUAAACAGUUUGGAACAAAUCUGAAACUCCUUGACAACAACAUUAGAAACAAAUCCAUAGAUAAUAGUAGUACUACUUUGCAGCCUAAAUCCACCCGAGAAGACACCUUGUCUCCAAUUAAUAAACUAGUAAUUAACUACAGUCUUACACCCGCAUAAUGAUACUAUCAUUAGGAGAAGAUUUGAGAACAGUUGGUGUUCUUUUCGAUCCAAAUGCAGAAACGCACCUCCUUGGAUGAACGAGAGGAAGUAGGAUGUGUGGAUCUCAAAUCCAGCGGCCAUGGAGAAGAUAGGGAGGGGCGGCGGCGGAGGCGUGCCGAAGUCGAUGCAGAUGGAGAGGAGGCCCAGCGUGGCGGUGGUCGGCGGGGGCGAGCUUGACCCGAGGCGUGGAUCCUCCACGGCGGCGACCUGUGUGGAACAGAGAGAGAGAGCUGAGAGGGAGAGCGAAGGAAGAAAGAGGAGGGAAGGCAGGAGGGGACCGGCGUGACGCGGAUCCUGUUCGCCGGCGAGACGGCCGCUCGUGAAGCUCCUGGGCGGCGUGCUUCACCAUAUGCGUGCAAGGGGAUUAGUUGUUUUUUUUCUGAAGAGAGGCAGCUACUAAAGAGAGAGAGCGAGUCAGCGACGACUGUUUCUGUCGGCUAGCGCGGCCACUCGUUUCCUCCGGAUCGUGCGCGCGCACUUUUUAGGUUUUGGGCAAUUUGAAAGUACAUAUAUUUCAAAAAUAAUCACGAAUUAGAAUAAAGUUCACUAAUUCAAAAAAGUUCAUGAAAAUUGAAAAAAGUUCAUCGAUUUUCAAAGAAACUUCAUAGAUUCUAAAAAAAAGGUUCAUCCAAUUUUCGAAAAUGUUCGAUGAUUUUCAAAAAAUUUCACUGAUUUUCAAAAAAGUUCACUAAAUCUAGAAAAAGUUCAUCGAUUUUGAAAAAUAUGUUCAUCGAUUCUAAAAAUAAGUUCAUCAUUUCUAGAAAAAAUCAAAAACUUUGAAAAAGGUUCAUAUAUUUUUUUAAAAUCAUUGUUUUUGAAGAAAAAAGUUCACCAAUUUUCAAGAAAUUAUCAGAAAACUUGAAAAAAGUUCAUCGAUUUUGAAGAAAAGUUCACAAAAUUAGAAAAAAGUUCAUCAUUUUUUAGAAAAGUUGACAUAUUUUAAAAAGUACAUCGAUUUUGAAAAAAAAAUCACGAGUUUGGUGGGGAAAAACGUUCAUCAAGUCAGGAGAAAAAGUUCAUCCAUUUUGAAAAAAUUCAUGGAUUUUGGGAAAAAAAUUCAUCAAUUUUGGAGAAAAGUUCCAGGAGUUUGAUUCUUUUUAAGAAUUUGAAAAAAGUUUGUGAAUUUAAGAAAAGGAAAAAACAAAACGGAAAAAAUACAAAGGAAACCAGACUGGGAAAGUAGGUGCUUUUCUUAGCGUUUUAUUUACUAUACAAAAUCGUAAAAGCAGAAAUGUGAUCAGAGCCAUAAAUUGGGUGGAUCCUAAUUGACGCCCGUGUGCGUCCAGGAAGCGUGGCUUCGCUGAAGCGCGCGGGAGGAGCUGCGCGCGACGGGCCGGCCCACCUCGCGAAUUCAAGCGUUGCCAGGCAAACCGGUUUUGGGAACCUUCUAGCAGGUUCCCUAAACCGGUUUCUUUCUUAUUUUAUACUCUUUGCCGGUUUUCUGAUUUUUCCUGUUUCUUUAUUCUUUUUUGUUUCUUUUUUUAAAAUUAUUUUCUUUUUAUUUUUUCGUAUUUAUUUUUAUCCUUUGUUUUCAAAAAAGUUUAAAAUUCCUUAUUUUCUUCAUGAUUUCAUAAAACACGCAGUUUUUAAAUUUUGUUCACAAUUCAAAAUUUGUUCAGCGUACAUUACAUAAAUGUUCAAUGUAUAUUUUAAAUUUGUUCGGGAUAUAUCACAGAAAUGUUCAGUGUUUAUUUUAAAAUUGUUCAGCAUACGUUACAGAAAUGUUCAAUGUAUAUCUUAAAUUUGUUUGGGAUAUAUCAGAAAAAUGUUCAGUAUGUAUUUAAAAAUUGUUCAGCAUAUGUUACAAAAUUUUUCAAUGUAUAUUUAAAAAACUCUUCUUUUUGGAAUUCCGAAAUUUGUGUUCAACUUUUCAGUAAUUGUUGACGUUUGUAAAGUUUUUUCGAAUUUUAAAAAUUGUUCAUGGUUAUAAAAAGGGUUUUGCGUUUGUCAAAAUUUGUUCAGAAGUUUUUAUUUUUUUCUUGAUUUUCUUGAAUUGUUCGGAAAAUUCAAAAGUUGUUUGGUACUUUAAAAUCUCGCGCUGCCUCCGAACCAGAAGAAGUUAUCAGCUCAACUGGUUAGGUUCCAGAGUUUCGGAGCGUGACGUCAUGGGAUCGAUUUCCUGCUGGUGCGGGAUAUUUUUGGCGUUUUUUCUCACGCGCUCGAGCUUCAGACCUUUAAAUGGGCCGGCCCAUCAGCAUGUACCUUCAGCGAACGCUCCUCUGCUUGACGCUAACGAACGUCACACAGGAGCUGCCCAUAAAUUGUGCCGGUUGGCUAGCUGCGCUGCAACAAAAGGCCGCACGUAUGGAGUUCGACCCCUGCGCAGGCACGUAUUUUUUGGACCAUUAAAGGAAGGAAGAAAAAGAAGUAAAACGGGCCUGGCCCAUGACGGGAGGCGGGUGUGCGCCCGUUUGUGAAUCAGCCUAUAACGGGCUCUGAGGGCGCCGUUUAGGAAAUGCCCUCCUAUAUAGCGUCUAGGUCGCUAGGAAGCGACGUAGCGCGUACCCCCUUCACGCGGUGCUGUUUCCAUGGGCCGGCCAAUUUCGGGGUUUCACCCCCAACCUGUUUCGGGAGGUUUUUUUUUUCCUGAACCGGGUUUUCUGGUUUUCUUUUCUUUUUUACGCUUUCUUUUCUUUUUGUUCCUUUUUUGUUUUGUUUUAUUUUUUCUUUUGUUCUCUGUUUUUAUGUUUUCGUUUUUAUUCUUUUUUUUAAUUUGCGAGAAUCUUAUAAUUUGUGAAUGUUUUUUAAAGUCAUAAACAUUUUAUGAAAUGAUGAACAUUUUUAAAGUUGUGACUUUGUUUUCACAAAUUUGUUAACAAUAUCUUAAAACAUUAACAUUUUUUGAAACCUUGAACAUUUAUCAAAACUUACAAUUUCUUUUUGAAAGUGUGAACAUUUUUUUAAUCAUGGGCCGGCCGAGAUGAGGUUGUGUGCCUGCUUCGUUCCCAGCGCGUUAUGUGCCCAAUAGGAGCUUCCUUCAAAAUCUUGAUCCCCGUAUACUACGUUCGCGUUGCACAAAUGGGCUUGCCCAUAACACGUUCGCUCGCUUGAUCCCUGUGCCGCAAAUACGUAAACUCGAGCAGAGUGUCGUCCACCUUCGCAUCGCCUCACCUGAUGGGCCGGCCCAUCACCACACAAUUUUUUUAUUUGUCGUUCAAUUAUUAAAUAGCCCCAGCCCUCAAUUUGUUUUUUGAGAAUCGUGAGCUAUAUUAAUCAAUCGACAGGAUUACACUCCUUCCGCACAAGCCGCGAGGAAGGUAGGAAUAUAAUUAAUCCAUAAGCAUCGCCUCCUAGAAGCACUACAUUGUUUAGUGCAAAGAUGCGCUAGCUCAUUCGCUUCUCUGGCCGUAUAGAUCAAACGGAAUUCCUCAAAAUUCCCACUAAGCUCUCAAAUUUCAUUUAUCUAGUAGAUAUCUCCGAGCGGUCAACCCUUGGAGUCUUCCACUGAUCUACCACUAGUUUAGCAUCAGUUUCAAUGAUAACUUUUCUAUAACCCAACUCAUAAGCUAGUUGGACCCCAUCUCUCACUGCAUAAGCCUCCAUCACCAUUGCUGAUAAUCCAGACUCAUACCAUAGAGCUUGAGCGCGAAUCAGAGUACCCUCAUGGUUCCGUACUCCUAGCCCAGUACCUCCUUGAUGA